UAUUGCACAAUGGGGGGAACCCUGAUGCAGUGACGCCGCGUGGGCGAUGGAGUGCUUCGGCAUGUAAAGCCCUAUCAGCAGGGAAGAAAAUGACGGUACCUGACUAAGAAGCCCCGGCUAACUACGUGCCAGCAGCCGCGGUAAUACGUAGGGGGCAAGCGUUAUCCGGAUUUACUGGGUGUAAAGGGGGCGCAGACGGCAGCGCAAGCCAGGAGUGAAAGCCCGGGGCCCAACCCCGGGACUGCUCUUGGAACUGCGCGGCUGGAGUGCAGGAGGGGCAGGCGGAAUUCCUGGUGUAGCGGUGAAAUGCGUAGAUAUCAGGAGGAACACCGGUGGCGAAGGCGGCCUGCUGGACUGCGACUGACGUUGAGGCCCGAAAGCGUGGGGAGCAAACAGG
rnacentral:rRNA from 1 species